UCAUUUUAAAAACAUCGUGGCGCGCAACGUGUUGGAUGAAAUUUGAUCUCCGUAGGCACGCUGACAUACACGUGUCGAUCUCUAUUCCUUCAUCGCGACCUUUGAUCGGAAAAAUUUCCGAGCACGUCGUAGAGCGGUUGAAUCCACCGUCCAUUCUUCAUUGGCACGUUUCUUUUUGGCGAAGACUUGAGAGAGAUGAAUUACGAGAAUAGGCUAAAAGCGGCGGCGAAGCUCAUACUUCUCCACGAUUCUGGCUCCGACAACUCGCCGGAAUCUUGUCCGGACUUCGGAGUUACGGCGACUCUGAAACCCUACCAAGUUGAAGGAGUUCUAUGGCUAAUUCGGCGAUAUCAUCUUGGCGUCAACGUUAUUCUCGGUGAUGAGAUGGGGUUAGGCAAAACCUUGCAAGCUAUUUCUUUUCUUAGUUAUUUGAAGGUCCAUCAAAUAUCACCGGCACCAUUUUUGGUAUUAUGUCCUCUAAGCGUGACAGAUGGUUGGGUAUCAGAGAUUAUCAAAUUUGCUCCAUGUUUAAAUGUUCUUCAAUAUGUUGGAGAUAAAGAAACUAGACGAAAUGUGCGCAGGCGUAUGUUUGAGCAUGCAACAGAGCAACCUGUAUCUGAUGUGUUGUUUCCUUUCGACAUUCUGUUGACAACAUAUGACAUAGCAUUGAUGGAUCAGGAUUUCCUCUCUCAGAUACCCUGGCAGUAUGCUGUCAUUGAUGAAGCACAGAGACUUAAAAACCCUUCAAGUGUUCUGUACAAUGUACUUCUAGAGCGUUUUCUUAUCCCAAGGCGGUUAUUGAUGACUGGAACUCCUAUUCAGAACAAUCUCAGCGAACUUUGGGCUUUAUUGCAUUUUUGCAUGCCUUCAGUCUUUGGUACACUCAAUCAAUUUAUUUCUACGUUCAAGGAUACUGGAGAUCUUACUUUAGAUCAUGGAAAAAUGAAAGGAAAUGGACAUUUUAAGAGUUUAAAGUAUGUACUAUCAGUCUUCCUUCUGAGAAGAACAAAAACCAAGCUUAGUGAAUCUGGAGUUUUGUUGCUACCACCACUUACUGAGACAACAGUGAUGGUACCCUUGGUAAAUCUUCAAAGGAAGGUCUACAUGUCAUUAUUGAAGAAGGAGCUGCCUAAACUACUUGCCCUUUCUGCUGGAUCCUCAAACCACCAAUCUUUGCAGAAUAUUGUGAUUCAACUUCGAAAAGCCUGUAGCCAUCCUUAUCUGUUUCCUGGUAUUGAGCCUGAACCUUACGAAGAAGGAGAGCACCUGGUUCAGGCAAGUGGCAAGCUUGUGGUUCUUGAUCAACUACUUCAGAAACUACAUGAUUCUGGACAUCGUGUUCUCUUGUUUGCUCAGAUGACUCAUACACUUGAUAUAUUACAGGACUUCCUGGAGUUGCGGAACUUUUCCUAUGAGCGUCUUGAUGGAUCAAUUCGAGCUGAAGAGCGUUUUGCUGCAAUCAGGAGCUUCAGCUUGAAUUGUGCGGGGGGGAGUUCUCAAACAACCCCAAAUGAUGCUUUUGUUUUCUUGAUCUCUACAAGAGCCGGGGGAGUUGGUUUGAAUCUAGUGUCCGCUGAUACAGUUAUAUUCUAUGAACAAGAUUGGAAUCCUCAGGUGGACAAGCAAGCUUUACAAAGGGCACACAGAAUUGGUCAAAUAAAUCAUGUGUUGUCUAUAAACCUAGUUACAUCCCAAACUGUCGAAGAAGUUAUUAUGCGAAGGGCAGAAAGGAAGCUGCAACUUAGCCAAAAGGUUAUGGGUGAAGAUUAUAUUGAUCAGGAAGCAGAAGAAAUUGCAGUGAAUGAAACUAGUGACUUGCGAUCUAUCAUAUUUGGGUUACAUGUUUUUGAUCAAGGUCAACUAGACGACGAAAAGUCAGGAGAGUUUGAGGUGUCAAAUGUCAGUGCAAUGGCUGAAAAAGUUAUUGCACUGCGCCAUAAAAAAUUAUCAGACAAGGAUGAUGCAAGAUUUUUGGUUAAUCCAAUGACUUUAUCUAAUGGUGGUGAUCUUUCUAUCCGCGAAGGUACUGCCUCUCUCAAUUUUGACCCAGGCCUUGAUGAGGUGUCAUAUUGCUCUUGGAUAGAGAAGUUCAAGGAAGCAACUCAUUCUGGUGCUAACCAAAUCAAGGAGUUGGAAGACCGGAAAACUUUAUCUAGAGAUAAGAGUCUAAAACUUCAGGCUGCAAAGAAGAAAGCAGAAGAAAAGAAACUAUCUAAAUGGGAAGCCCUUGGAUACCAUUCAUUAUCUGUUGAAGAUCCAGUCUUACCUGUUGAUAGUGAUCUAAUUUCAGAUGCUGGCUCUGUUUACUUUGUCUAUGGUGAUUGCACACAUCCAUCGGCGACAGUGAAUUGUAUAUCCGAGCCUACCAUCAUAUUCAGUUGUGUUGAUGAUUCCGGAAGCUGGGGGCAUGGCGGAAUGUUUGAUGCGCUGGCAAAACUUUCUGAAAGCAUCCCUUCUGCAUAUGAACGAGCUUCUGAAUUUGGGGACCUACAUCUUGGUGAUGUUCAUCUCAUAAAACUUGAUGACAACAAACAACAGAGUGAUAAUGCUCCUCAAUGGUUUGCUUUGGCCGUUGUACAAUCUUAUAAUCCAAGGCGAAAAGUCCCAAGAAGCAAGAUUUCUCUUCCAGAUUUGGAGAACUGCAUAUCAAAGGCAUCAUCUUCAGCAGCACAACAUUCUGCUUCAAUCCACAUGCCACGGAUUGGUUACCAAGACGGAUCAGAUCGCUCCGAGUGGUACACUGUGGAACGUCUUCUCCGAAAAUAUGCUUCCAUUUACAACAUUAAAAUCUAUGUGUACUACUACCGAAGGACAUCUUAGGGUUGGCCAUUCUUGGCAAUUGUUGUAUGCAUAUGUACGUGAAGUUGCAGAGUAUCUAACAAGAGAACUUGAAAUAGGUUUCACAAGAUAGAGAAGCACCAAUUGAGGAAUUUGUAUAAAGGGGGCAAAGGCAAAGCUUACUAGCUAACUAAGAAGUGUUUGCUUGUUUCUUCUUUCCUUCUUCUGCAUAUGUUUGUUAUAUUUAAGUUCUCAGAUUUUAUAAAGUCUCGAAUUUGGAUGUAAGAGCAAUUCUCGAUUAUUAUUAGUGUUUCUCCUCAUUUCUUUGAAUGGCGUGGCAUAGCAAAAGGUACAAGAAGAAGUCAAUUCUAAGCAUACAGUUCAACUGAAAAUAAUAUAGAAUAAAUGAUGGGCCUCAUCCAGA